rnacentral:tRNA from 3 species
UCUGUAGCUCAGUCGGUAGAGCAGAGGACUGAAAAUCCUCGUGUCGGUGGUUCGAUUCCGCCCGG